UGCUACACAUGCAGUCGACGAUGAAGCCCAGCUUGCUGGGUGGAUUAGUGGCGAACGGGUGAGUAACACGUGAGUAACCUGCCCUUAACUCUGGGAUAAGCCUGGGAAACUGGGUCUAAUACCGGAUAGGAGCGCCUACCGCAUGGUGGGUGUUGGAAAGAUUUAUCGGUUUUGGAUGGACUCGCGGCCUAUCAGCUUGUUGGUGAGGUAAUGGCUCACCAAGGCGACGACGGGUAGCCGGCCUGAGAGGGUGACCGGCCACACUGGGACUGAGACACGGCCCAGACUCCUACGGGAGGCAGCAGUGGGGAAUAUUGCACAAUGGGCGAAAGCCUGAUGCAGCGACGCCGCGUGAGGGAUGACGGCCUUCGGGUUGUAAACCUCUUUCAGUAGGGAAGAAGCGAAAGUGACGGUACCUGCAGAAGAAGCACCGGCUAACUACGUGCCAGCAGCCGCGGUAAUACGUAGGGUGCGAGCGUUAUCCGGAAUUAUUGGGCGUAAAGAGCUCGUAGGCGGUUUGUCGCGUCUGUCGUGAAAGUCCGGGGCUUAACCCCGGAUCUGCGGUGGGUACGGGCAGACUAGAGUGCAGUAGGGGAGACUGGAAUUCCUGGUGUAGCGGUGGAAUGCGCAGAUAUCAGGAGGAACACCGAUGGCGAAGGCAGGUCUCUGGGCUGUAACUGACGCUGAGGAGCGAAAGCAUGGGGAGCGAACAGGAUUAGAUACCCUGGUAGUCCAUGCCGUAAACGUUGGGCACUAGGUGUGGGGACCAUUCCACGGUUUCCGCGCCGCAGCUAACGCAUUAAGUGCCCCGCCUGGGGAGUACGGCCGCAAGGUAAAUAG
rnacentral:rRNA from 1 species